ACUCCUACGGGAGGCAGCAGUGAGGAAUAUUGGACAAUGGGUGAGAGCCUGAUCCAGCCAUCCCGCGUGAAGGACGACGGCCCUAUGGGUUGUAAACUUCUUUUGUACAGGGAUAAACCUUUCCACGUGUGGAAAGCUGAAGGUACUGUACGAAUAAGCACCGGCUAACUCCGUGCCAGCAGCCGCGGUAAUACGGGAGGGUGCAAGCUGUUAGUCCGGAAUUGAUUGGUUUAAAGGGUCCGUAGGCGGAUCUGUAAGUCAGUGGUGAAAUCUCAUAGCUUAACUAUGAAACUGCCAUUGAUACUGCAGGUCUUGAGUAAGGUAGAAGUAGCUGGAAUAAGUAGUGUAGCGGUGAAAUGCAUAGAUAUUACUUAGAACACCAAUUGCGAAGGCAGGUUACUAUGUCUUAACUGACGCUGAUGGACGAAAGCGUGGGGAGCGAACAGGAUUAGAUACCCUGGUAGCGAGUAG
rnacentral:rRNA from 1 species